GUGACUCGACUCGUUCAUCGCUUGCUUCGCUUGGCUGGCCGCGAGUGCUGCGUCAUCCUCCUCGUCGUCUUCCUCCUCGCGAUCGCUGCUCGAUCGUCCACUGCUCCCAACCAAAAAAUUUACCGCCUCUCUCUCUCUCUCCCACGAUUCACCACCACGCGCGAUCUCCUCCACUCCACUGCCGCUGCUGCCCCUUAUCCCCAAACCCUACCGCUGCCGCCGCAUCCUCCCUCCCUCCUCGCCCGCCCGAGGCCCGACGCUUGCGGUUGCAGGCUGCAGCGCAGAGGGAGGCGAGCGGCGAGCCCACGGCGACGAGGGGGGGAGCUCAGGCGGCUCCCGUCCAUGGCGGGGAUCCAACCCGUUUUGGAUGAAAGAAUGGACCCAUUUACUGGUAGAAUGAUUAUACCAGCCUCUACUUGCCAAUCACGAUGUACUGCUCACAAUGAUCUGUCCUUAUUCAGCGGGCCAUUGAUUGACAGAACGUCUUCCUCUUCCAUUAGUGAGUUUAACAGCGAGGCUGAAAAGUUCAACGAUUUGGAAGUGCCGCCACCAUGGUUGUUGUCCUACCAUCGCAGCUGUGAUAUCGGGAGCAACUUUGAGGCGUUUGCAACUGUAAUGUCACGGCUGCGCCAGCACUUGUUGGAUGCAAAUGUAGAGAUUAAUUACACGGAGUACUUAGAUUUGAUGAAACUGGAAGUUGAACAGCACCUUAAUAAGCUCAAGGAGGAUAUAAGGUUCCUGAAAAGUCAUAGCUUGGUCCAUGAUGGUGAUGCAAAUGGUUCAUGCCCUAUGGUGUGUCACCAUGGGAAGCUUGUUGAGAUAUAUGAGGGCUUCAAUGGCUUCAAGCUACUUCUGGUUGUGGUGUUCCGGCAAAUCAAGGAGAUGCUGAGCUUGUUCAGUGCUUCAAUUCGUGAUCUCCAGUGGGAACACGAGAUGCAAUUAGAGGUCACCAGCAUUAUGAUCGGAGACUGCAUUAAAAGCCUUCAGGAUGAGCUAGAGAGGAAGCUGUAUGAACAAAGUUCCAUAGUGAACACUCUGAAAAAGAAUUGGAAGGAAACUGUUGUUCAGUGUGGUGCUAUCCAUGAAGAACUGAUUGACAUUGCUGAUAUGCUUUUACCUUCAGAAGAAGAAUCAAAUAUUUUGAACAGCAAGCAUGAACAUUUUGGUAACUGGAGUAGCGGAUGGAAACACAAAUUCUUUGGAAAAAAGUCAGGGGAAGAACGCACGCCAUCUUCCAAUGAGGAAAACAUCAGCUCCGCAACUCAGAAAUCUGUAUGUCCCAGAGAAGUUAUUUCAGAAAAAUCUGACUUCCGGCAUCUGAAGGGUAUGAAUAGAGAAGAAAUGAUAAAGUACUUCAGAUUUGAGAUUAGUAAACUAAAAAGGCUACAUGAAUUGUCAUUGCAAGAGAAAACCGAAGAGUUGUUCAAAUUCAAACGGGAAAAGGGAUCAUUGGCUCUUAAGUAUGAUCCUGAAUUCGAGCCUUUAAGAAAGAAAGUUCCUGAGAUCAUUUCAAGAGUUGAUCAAAUCAUUUUGAAUACCAUAAAUGCACCUACAGCUUUCAGCACUAAUCAGGUACUUGAGGAAAGGGGCAGAUUGACUGGUAGAAUUGAUUCACUAUACUAUGCAAACCAGAAUCUUCGAGGUUUGCUUGCAGAAAAGAUGAAGGAUAUUAAGGAUUUAUCACGCCAGGUUUCUGAUGCCAGCAGGAAAAUGUCAUUUCAAUUGUCACUGGAGGAGAAACUUUCAAGGCAGCUCCACAAAAUUAAAGGGGACUAUGAGGAUCUACACAUUCAAAGCACUAUUAGAGAUGAAGUGUAUCAAACUGUUACAAAAAGAAUGUUUGAUGAUUAUAGGAACAGCCUGCAGGACCCUGCACUAACUUAUCAAGAAAAAGUGACUUCACUUGAAGCUGCACUCUCAGAAAAGGAGACGGCGUUACGUUUAGCUAAUGAAGAAAACCAGAGGUUAAAGGAGAAGUUGUCAAAACAAGAAAAGGAGCAUGGCAUCCAAAAUAACCAGGACUAUCCUGAGUUAAUCAAACAAGACAAUGAGGAAAUGAUACUCCGUGAUAUCGAGAUGGAGCCUCAUGUAUCACCUAGGAGAUCAUAUGCCAUUUCUGAGCAGAAUGCAGAGUAUGAGGAGCUCAUCAAACUGAAGCAAACUUUAGAGAUUGCCUCAACUGCCUUGAAGGAAGUUGAAUCAAACGAAUUGGAUUAUAAUGGUAUUCUAGGUAAAAAUGAGCAAGAAAAGCAACUAGAAUUCAUUUUGGUAUCCAUUAUGGAUUUGUCAAAAGAAUUUGUGCAGAUUGAAAAUAAAAUGUCAGGGGAUAUGAAGGGAAGUGAAAAAGGGCCUGAAAUUCUGGGUUAUCAAUGCAAGCAUAUGGUACAGCAGGCACUUGUGCUAACAAAGAAGGGCCUUUGGUAUAAGCAAAUGCUAGACACAAGACGGUCUCAACUCCGAAAAGCUGAAGCUGAGGUUGACGUUUUAGGAAAUAAGGUUAGCACACUCUUAAGUCUUGUUCAAAAGAUAUACGUGACUCUCGAGCAUUACUCUCCAGUAUUUCAGCAAUAUCCUGGGUUGCUAGAUGCUUUCUUGAAGACAUGCAAGCUUGUUGCAGGUUUAAGAAGUAAACAAAAAGAGGACUUACAGGAUACAUCUUAAGUUGGAGCAGCUAGUUUUGGUCGAGCAAUAUUCAACAUUUCAACUGCAUAGUAAGUGAUGUUGCUUUUCUUAUUGCCCUUAUCUGUUCAUAGUCUUGUGCUGCCUGUGCGUGCUUCCUGUUAAAGUUUAGUUGAUAAAUUGAAAUUUUCAUUUGGAGCAAAACUCUGAUUCUGGUUACACUAGUUUCUUUAUCUUUCUCAUGAUGGUGCUUCUUGAAACGAUUACAAAUAUCCAAAGCAACUUGGUGCAACAAAUGCAAAACACUAAUGUAAUAUACAAGAAUAUGAUGGAAGAUCACAUUCUAGGCAACAGUCCGAGGACUACCGUCUAAUUCACUUGCUACAGCAUUCCAUGCCAACAGUGCUGCACCAACAGCUGGUUCCACCUGCAGGUAAAGCAAAUAUAAGCUGAUGAAGAUCAAUUUAAAGAUUUCGUCAUAGAAUCCAAAAGAUAUGUGAUGUAGCUGAAUUUCUUCCAUUUCUAUUUGAAUCGAUCUUAAAUUUUACUCAAUCAUUGAAGAUAGAAGAAUCUGAAGACGAUAUCUUGUAGUAGUCAUUAUGAUCAAAGGCAAACUAUUGGUGCAAUUCUGCAUUUGUGUUCACCUUGGGGUGUAUUGGAUAGGCUCCUGGAUAAGUUUUGGUAACACAAUCUAUCACUUCUUUUCCAAUGUCCCAUCUCUUGUUUGCCAUGAGAACUUUACCAACCAUAACAAGAGGAAAAUGGUCUUUUCCAUCUGCAGAAGCAUAAGCAUCUUGUAACAUGUUUUGUUGAGGUAAAGCCAAUAAAGGAAUUUUGAGUUAUGCAUUUCAGUUAGAAAGAAAUCCCUAUCUCACCUUCACCGCUCAAUUCAAGUCUUUGCACUACAGCCUUGACACUGGAAGCUAGUUCACCAACUGAAUUGUGCAAGAUCUUGUUUGCUACUUCAUCACCAGCUUCAGCAGAUUCUACCACAACCGGAAGAAGGUCAGCUAUUCGCGCCCAAGAUUGGUCUUCAUAUGUCCAGCUGUUGUGUGAAGAAGUAAUCAGUAGAACCAACAAAUUGAGUGAGCUAAAGGAUUACCCUAUCAAUUCGUCUGGUGAUGCGAGUCCAAGGAAGUCAAGGAUGCUGUUUGUAAGCGCUGUUUCAGGACCCCGACCAUCAUAAGCCCUCACUACUGCUGUCAAUGCCUGUGCUGAAAUCCCAUAUGCACUGCACAUGCCACACAGCUAGAAUCAAAACUUGUACAGGAGUCCUGGCAUGCAGAUGAGAUGAUACCUCCAACAGAGUUGUGGUUGGAGCAGCCGGCGACGGCGCGGGAGAGGACGGGGAGAGGGUCGGCGAAGGGCAUGGCCGCCGGGAUGCAGACGCAGACGGUGUUGCCGGCGCCGCCGUCGACGCCGAGGAUGACGCUCCCCAUGCGCGGGCUCUGGCUCUUCUCCAUGUCCCAUAUCUCACCACCCGUCUUCGUGUACCUCUGCAUCUCUGCGGACACCAACAGCAGCUAGUGCUAAACAAACAAACUGACACAGUGACAAUGGAGAAGGAUUUCUCUUGCUGUCACCUACAAGUCUGCAACUAGGAUGUUACUGAUCGGCGUUUCUCCGGCUGAUGUUACCGACGGCAGUGGGUUAGCAUACUCUCAAUUAUGGUGACAAAUUCAAUGCUGGUUGGUUUUGCCUUUUGUAUGUCCGAAGAGUUGCAUGAUUUGCAUCAGUGACAUGUCGAAACUGUGCUGCAGUCUAGCAUGCAUAUGCUCCAGCUCUACUCACAAAAAAACUCAAACCAUUUGUGCUCCAAAUGGCAUAGUAUUUUGCUGUCAGAAACGGCAUGCAGAUUAGUUCAGCACUUCAACGCUAGUUUACUUUUCUUACGCCACAUUGUCCAACACCCACUGCCAUCGGUGACGGACAAAAUUCCUCUUCCCAGAAGACCUGCCUUCCAUUAUUAUCAAGACUCAAGAGGACUUAAUCCGUAUUAUAUGCAGCUGCAAGAAUACAUAUAAUCUCUGGUCGUUGUUACCAUUGUUUUUGGAUUGAUCUCAACCCCUUGAUGGCCUCUUCUCCUGCCAAAUGGCUGAUUUCCAUGGCACCACAGCUACAGCCUAUAAGAGUACAAGACAUUCAGGAGGAGACAAGUGAGCUGAUGACAUUGGAUAACUUUCUAGCUUGCGUCCAAACAAAAGCAGAGAAAACUAGCGUAUCUUGAGCAAUCUGUCAAGGAGUUAAAUUAACCUCAAACUGAUGUUGCUAGCAGCAGAUAUGUACUAUCCAGAUGGGGUUGCACUUUUGUACUGCAUAGAGUAUGAUCAGAUAAUGUGUAGCCUCAUGAUCCAAAUGGCUCCAUCGGAUCACAAAAUGCCUAUAUCGGUCUGUUUGGUCUCACUCUCAUCUUUAGGACUGGAGCACAAUCUUUCAACCAUCUUGCAGGAUUGGAACACAGUCUUCCAACCAUCUUGCAAGAUCAUGAUUCAAUUGUGGAACAAAAAAAAAACAUAUAUAUUCCUUUGGGUGAAGAGCUUAUUUUUCUUUC